rnacentral:rRNA from 1 species
GAUUAAGUUAUUAAGGGCGCACGGUGGAUGCCUUGGCACUAGAAGCCGACGAAGGACGUUACUAACGACGAUAUGCUUUGGGGAGCUGUAAGUAAGCUUUGAUCCAUAGAUUUCCGAAUGGGGAAACCCAGCACGAGUUAUGUCGUGUUAUCUGCAUGUGAAUACAUAGCAUGCAAGAAGGCAGACCCGGAGAACUGAAACAUCUUAGUACCCGGAGGAAGAGAAAGAAAAAUCGAUUCCCUGAGUAGCGGCGAGCGAAACGGGAAGAGCCCAAACCAAUAAGCUUGCUUAUUGGGGUUGUAGGACACUCUGUACGGAGUUACAAAAGAAUUUGUUAGACGAAUAACCUGGAAAGGUUAAUCAUAGAAGGUAAUAAUCCUGUAGUCGAAA